GGGGUCGUAGCUCAGUUGGCAGAGCGUCUCGUUCGCAAUGAGAAGGUCAGGGGUUCGACUCCCCUCGGCUCCACCA
rnacentral:tRNA from 6 species